UACGUAGGGUGCGAGCGUUGUCCGGAAUUAUUGGGCGUAAAGAGCUCGUAGGCGGUUUGUCGCGUCUGCUGUGAAAACCCGAGGCUCAACCUCGGGCCUGCAGUGGGUACGGGCAGACUAGAGUGCGGUAGGGGAGAUUGGAAUUCCUGGUGUAGCGGUGGAAUGCGCAGAUAUCAGGAGGAACACCAAUGGCGAAGGCAGAUCUCGGGGCCGUAACUGACGCUGAGGAGCGAAAGCAUGGGGAGCGAACAGG
rnacentral:rRNA from 1 species